rnacentral:lncRNA from 10 species
CCUUGGCUUAUGCAUGUAUGUCUGCUUUUAUUCCCAAAUACCUGUAUAACUUCUUCUUAAAAGACAACUCACAUGUAAUACAAGAGUAUCUGACUGUCUUCUCUCAGAUGAUUGCAUUUCAUGAUCCAGAGCUGAGUAAUCAUCUCAAUGAGAUUGGUUUCAUUCCAGAUAUGUAUUUCCACUACACAAAAUUUUCCACCUCUGGGAUACCUUACUACUUGGGAAUUCCUCUUUCCCAUUCUGUAUUGGAGUAGCAAUUCUUCAGCAGCUGCGGGACCGGCUUUUGGCUAAUGGCUUUAAUGAGUGUAUUCUUCUCUUCUCCGAUUUACCAGAUGCAGAAAAGGCCUUCAACAAAAUUCAACAGCCUUUCAUGCUAAAAACUCUCAAUAAACUAGGUACUGAUGGAAUGUAUCUCAACAUAAUAAGAGCUAUUUGUGACGGACCCACAGCCAAUAUCAUACUGAACGGGCAAAAACUGGAAGGAUUCCCUUUGAAAACUGGCACAGGACAAGGAUGCCCUCUCUCACCACUCCUAUUCAACAUAGUUUUGGACUUUCUGGCCAGGGCAGUCAGGCAAGAGAAAGAAAUAAAGG